ensembl:lncRNA
UUUGAAGAUGAAUUCCUUUGUUCUCAAGAAGUUCCCCAUGUUACCGGUGCUUGAGGUUAACGAUGAGCCCGUUAUAUCGAGAGUUGAGUGGGAGCUUGGGCCUUGCUGGAAAGGGCAACCAGGAGUACUGCAGGGAAAGGAGGGAAGAUUUAACAUGAAGAAGUGGUAAGAAAUAGAGAAAGGGAUAUGGGAGAUAUAGGACAUAAGGUAGAACUGAAAUCAUUUUGAUAAAGGACAGAUAACAAAAGUUCCGGUGACAUAUGCCACAUAUUCAGCCUUGCAUAGUGAGGUUAAUGAGUCCUUCCCAAAACCCUUGUGGGGCCUGCUGCGAGACCAGUAGUGUGUCCUGGUACGGGGACUGUGCCUGUGGGACCAGGGCACUGGAAGCAGGCAAUGGCCAGGUCAUCUCAUCAAACACACUGACUGCAGAGCAACGUUUAGUGCCUGACACGAGAUAUUCACAGAGGAAGUCAGAACCUGGAUGACUUUGUGACAAAAACACUGCAAAUGUGAGAGUGCUGCUGUGCUGAGAAUGACUUUGAGAAUAAACUGAUUUUGGAUGAUUACCUAUCUUUAAAAUGUUUUUUUGAAAAAUCAGAUUGUAACACUCUAAAGUAUUAAACUUCAGUGCAAACUUAUGGCAAUAUUCAGCGCUACCCACAACAUAGAUCAUAGAAAGCAGUUCCACCUAGUCCAGGCUUUUCUUUAGUAAUGAAAAUACCAAUGUCCAAAGUUGUUCAUUUAAGGUAAGGUGUCUCUCUUUUCCUUUCCAUUCUCUUUCCAUCACUUAAAAUGCAAAUGCUUUGGAAUAGAGUUGGUUUAGAAAGUGUGAAAGAGAUUGUAAUAGACUCAGAGUGGAGCAUGCUGAGUUUUGUAGGUGCUGUCAGUGAGACACUCCCUGCUUCAGUGAUGGGAUGGGAAGGCUGAUCUGAAGCCAUUCUGAGUAGUUUUGCAUCAAAAGAGAAUCUGUUCCUUGGUUUUCACCAUUACCAGUCAAUAAGAAGCAUUCCCACUUGGAUAUUUUAGGAUUUGAGGUGGAGUCAGAGCUUUCCAACUAUUUGCCUAAAAAUGCCUUAAAAAACUAUUUCCUGUUGUGUUGCCACACUGGAAUAACAGUGCUAAAAAGAGAAAACUGAGUCAGAGAGAAACUAGAGGCAAUGUAAGGCAGAACAAUUUCAAGUAAAGUGGUUUAUAAUGACUAAGAUCUGAAGUAUGUUCAUUUCCCUAUUGGCAAGAUCAGAG